rnacentral:rRNA from 1 species
AUACGGAGGAUCCGAGCCUUAUCCGGAUUUAUUGGGUUUAAAGGGUGCGCAGGCGGCCAUUUAAGUCAGCGGUUAAAUCGUGGGGCUCAACCCCAUUCUGCCGUUGAUACUGGGUGGCUUGCGUGCGGUCGAGGCUGGCGGAAUUCGUUGUGUAGCGGUGAAAUGCAUAGAUAUGACGAAGAACACCGAGUGCGUAGGCAGCUGACCAGACCGCAAAUGACGCUCAGGCACGAAAGGACGGGGUUCGAACAGGAUUAGAUACCCUGGUAGUCCGCACAGUAAACGAUGAAUACUUGUUUUCGGCGAUAUAAGGUCGGAGGCAAGCGAAAGCGAUAAGUAUUCCACCUGGGGAGUACGCCGGCAACGGUGAAACUCAAAUGAAUUGGCGGGG